rnacentral:rRNA from 1 species
UACAGAGGUCUCAAGCGUUGUUCGGAAUUACUGGGCGUAAAGGGCUCGUAGGCGGCCCUCUCAGUCGGAUGUGAAAUCCCCAGGCUCAACUUGGGAACGGCAUCCGAUACUGGAGGGCUUGAAUUCGGGAGAGGGAUGCAGAAUUCCAGGUGUAGCGGUGAAAUGCGUAGAUAUCUGGAGGAAUACCGAUGGCGAAGGCAGCCCCCUGGGUCAAUACUGACGCUCAUGCACGAAAGCGUGGGGAGCAAACAGG